rnacentral:ncRNA from 2 species
CGCUCUCGUUGGGGGUGCCCGCCGCGCACGGGCUGAGAAACACCCUUGGAACCUGAUCCGGCUCGCACCGGCGUAGGGAAACGUCCUUCAUGAGUU